rnacentral:rRNA from 1 species
UACGUAGGGAGCUAGCGUUGUUCCGGAAUCAUUGGGCGUAAAGCGCGCGUAGGCGGCCCGGUAAGUCCGCUGUGAAAGUCAAAGGCUCAACCUUUGAAUGUCAGCGGAUACUGCCGGGCUAGAGUCCGGAAGAGGCGAGUGGAACUCCUGGUGUAGCGGUGGAAUGCGUAGAGAUUUGGAGGAACACCAGUGGCGAAGGCGACUAUCUGGUCUGUAACUGACACUGAGGCGCGAAAGCGUGGGGAGCAAACAGG